rnacentral:misc_RNA from 1 species
GAAAUGCGAUAAGUAAUGUGAAUUGCAGAAUUCCGUGAAUCAUCGAAUCUUUGAACGCACAUUGCGCCCUCUGGCAUUCCGGGGGGCAUGCCUGUCCGAGCGUCAUUACGCACCCUCAAGCCCGGCUUGUGUGAUGGGCCCCGGCGUCUCGUUCGCGAGACGGGCCCGAAAGGCAGCGGCGGCGUCGACCCGAUGAGCCCGAGCGUAUGGGGACUUCUGUCACACGUUCGCGGUGCGGUCCGGCGCCUGCUUGACUUUUCUGAUUAUCCAGGUUGACCUCGGAUCAGGUAGGGAUACCCGCUGAACUUAAGC